rnacentral:rRNA from 1 species
UUUUAUGGAGAGUUUGAUCCUGGCUCAGGAUGAACGCUGGCGGCGUGCCUAAUACAUGCAAGUCGAGCGAACGGACGAGAAGCUUGCUUCUCUGAUGUUAGCGGCGGACGGGUGAGUAACACGUGGAUAACCUACCUAUAAGACUGGGAUAACUUCGGGAAACCGGAGCUAAUACCGGAUAAUAUUUUGAACCGCAUGGUUCAAAAGUGAAAGACGGUCUUGCUGUCACUUAUAGAUGGAUCCGCGCUGCAUUAGCUAGUUGGUAAGGUAACGGCUUACCAAGGCAACGAUGCAUAGCCGACCUGAGAGGG